CUGUACUUCUUCUAUGCUGUACUUUCUACAACUGUAUGUGGUGCUUCCCCCAGUGGUGAACAAAAGGCCAGCAGAGGCAGCGCCAAUGUACUGUAGCAUAGUAGUCAAUUUCAUAUAGGUCCUUU